rnacentral:rRNA from 1 species
GACGAACGCUGGCCGGCGUGCCUAUACAUGCAAGUCGAACGAGAGCGACCGGUGCUUGCACUGGUCAAUCUAGUGGCGAACGGGUGAGUAACACGUGGGUAACCUGCCCAUCAGAGGGGGAUAACAUCCGGAAACGGAUGCUAAAACCGCAUAGGUCUUCGAACCGCAUGGUUUGAAGAGGAAAAGAGGCGCAAGCUUCUGCUGAUGGAUGGACCCGCGGUGCAUUAGCUAGUUGGUGAGGUAACGGCUCACCAAGGCCGUGAUGCAUAGCCGACCUGAGAGGGUGAUCGGCCACAUUGGGACUGAGACACGGCCCAAACUCCUACGGGAGGCAGCAGUAGGGAAUCUUCCGCAAUGGACGCAAGUCUGACGGAGCAACGCCGCGUGAGUGAAGAAGGUUUUCGGAUCGUAAAACUCUGUUGUUAGAGAAGAACAAGUGCUAGAGUAACUGUUAGCGCCUUGACGGUAUCUAACCAGAAAGCCACGGCUAACUACGUGCCAGCAGCCGCGGUAAUACGUAGGUGGCAAGCGUUGUCCGGAUUUAUUGGGCGUAAAGCGAGCGCAGGCGGUUCCUUAAGUCUGAUGUGAAAGCCCCCGGCUCAACCGGGGAGGGUCAUUGGAAACUGGGGAACUUGAGUGCAGAAGAGGAGAGUGGAAUUCCAUGUGUAGCGGUGAAAUGCGUAGAUAUAUGGAGGAACACCAGUGGCGAAGGCGACUCUCUGGUCUGUAACUGACGCUGAGGCUCGAAAGCGUGGGUAGCAAACAGG